GUGGGGAAUAUUGGGCAAUGGGGGCAACCCUGACCCAGCGACGCCGCGUGAGGGAAGAAGGCCUUAGGGUCGUAAACCUCUGCUGUGUGGGAAGAAGGAAGUGACGGUACCACACGAGGAAGUCCCGGCUAACUACGUGCCAGCAGCCGCGGUAAUACGUAGGGGACGCGCGUUGUCCGGAAUUACUGGGCGUAAAGGUCGCGUAGGCGGUCAUUUAAGUCAGCUGUGAAAUGGUCUGGCUCAACCGGAUCAUGCGGUUGAAACUGGAUGACUGGAGUGCUGGAGAGGGAAGUGGAAUGCCCAGUGUAGCGGUGAAAUGCGUGGAUAUUGGGAAGAACACCGGUAGCGAAGGCGACUUGCUGGCAAGCAACUGACGCUGAGGCGCGAAAGUCAGGUGAGCAAACGGGAUUAGACACCCCACUAGUCC
rnacentral:rRNA from 1 species